UUUUAAUAUAAGGUGAUGAAGGUGUCUACCAGAAUCAGGAUAUUAAAUGUGCUAAUGUCCAGGGAUAUUGGGCUUUUAGGGGAAAGUGGUCGAUAUCUGCCCAGUAUUCCGAGUUACCUCACCCUCGUUUCAGGCAUGGUGGAACCCCCAAAGAUCGCUCGGGCAAUGACCUCGAGAUUAUAUAUUCUGCCCGUAUAGGGUGGUACAGGGUUAUUCCCCUUGAAUUUAUCCGCGAAGCUGUAUCUUUUAUCAAAUCGUAUUGAAGCCUGGCCAGAAAAAAUUUUAAAUAUUUAUUAAAAAUGAAAGAAAAAUAAAAC
rnacentral:misc_RNA from 1 species